UGCCAGACUCCUACGGGAGGCAGCAGUGGGGAAUAUUGCACAAUGGGGGAAACCCUGAUGCAGCGACGCCGCGUGAGUGAUGAAGUAUUUCGGUAUGUAAAGCUCUAUCAGCAGGGAAGAUAAUGACGGUACCUGACUAAGAAGCUCCGGCUAAAUACGUGCCAGCAGCCGCGGUAAUACGUAUGGAGCAAGCGUUAUCCGGAUUUACUGGGUGUAAAGGGUGCGUAGGUGGCAGGGCAAGUCAGAUGUGAAAGCCCGGGGCUCAACCCCGGUACUGCAUUUGAAACUGUCCAGCUGGAGUGCAGGAGAGGUAAGCGGAAUUCCUAGUGUAGCGGUGAAAUGCGUAGAUAUUAGGAGGAACACCAGUGGCGAAGGCGGCUUACUGGACUGUAACUGACACUGAGGCACGAAAGCGUGGGGAGCAAACAGGAUUAGAUACCCCCGUA
rnacentral:rRNA from 1 species